AUCGCCCUAAUGUUUUCCCUAAUUCUUUUCCCCUCUUUUUCCGAAAGUCCCAAACACAACCGCUCUCUCUCUCUCUCUUGCCCAGUACCUCACCACUCUCUCUCUCGCCCAAAGUCCCAAACUGGAAAUUUCUCAGCUCCGGAACCUCACCGUUCCCGCCGUUAUGAACAUUCCGAUGGCCGAAUCUUCUUCUCGCCGUCAGCUUACAGAACAAAAACUUGAGGAGGUAGCUUGAGGAGGGAGGAGCCCCCAAAACGAAUUCGAAUAAAAACCCCCAAAAAGAUUCUAACUUUGAAAUCGGAGGACUCCCAAAACCUAUAAAGUUUCAGACUUUGAGUUUUCUUCGUGUAUCUGCAACUCGGAAACCGCUAUUUCUCGUUCUCUGUACUAUCAAUUUGGCUCUGUAAAAGGGAAGCAAGUGCAUACUGGACUCGGCCACAACUUCAGUUUCAGUCAACCUUGUUUCUCUGUUUUGCUUUGAUGAAGCAAAUUUGAAGUAGCUUGAGGAGGUAGCUGGUUGGGUUGUGGAUCUUGGUUUUUUAUUGUGUAUACUUUGCAGCUCCUCGAACUGGAACAGAACAAUUGGGCUACUCCUCCUAUUGAGUAAUCUCCAAGUGAUUGAAUAGCAUGCUGUGUCACAGUACACAACCUCUAUCAUGCUGUGUCACAUUUGGAAUUGAUUUUCUGCAGAAUAAGGACACUAGUACAGAGUCUCCUAGACAGGUUGCUGAUGCAACUAGUGGGCAUGAAAUUUUGAGGGAGUCUAUAGGAGAUGAAGUAACUCCGAAUGCAAAUCAUGACCAGCCCUCAUUGGAGCAGAAUUCUCCAGUAAUAUCCCCUUCACAAAAUGGAUCUCAAAGGGUUCUCAUGGCAAAAAGAGCAAAGCAAAUGAAAGCAAGUGCAAAGCUCACAAAAUGACAAAGUAAAAUGGUGCACUUGUGAUUGUUGUUUUAUUUCAAGUGUGGUUAUAAUUUUCAAUACUUGAAAAUGACAACACAUUUAUUUUCAUUUUAGUGUUUGUAUUUGAAUAUGGUACGAUGACUCAAUAGAUAUGUUUAAUUAUAUUUUUCAUGAAUUAAUGUUAAUUUCUGAAGAUAUUUAAUUGCUUCA